UGGGGUGUGGCUCAAUGGUAGAGCAUUUGCCUACCAUGGGAAAGGCUCUGGGUUCCACCCCCAGCAUCUCAC
rnacentral:tRNA from 1 species